GAUCAUGGCUCAGAUUGAACGCUGGCGGCAGGCCUAACACAUGCAAGUCGAGCGGAUGAAGAGAGCUUGCUCUCUGAUUCAGCGGCGGACGGGUGAGUAAUGCCUAGGAAUCUGCCUGAUAGUGGGGGACAACGUUUCGAAAGGAACGCUAAUACCGCAUACGUCCUACGGGAGAAAGCAGGGGACCUUCGGGCCUUGCGCUAUCAGAUUAGCUACGUCGGAGUUAGU
rnacentral:rRNA from 1 species